rnacentral:piRNA from 1 species
UGGGAUGGUUUUACAGGCUUCAGGAG